rnacentral:siRNA from 1 species
AGAAUACGCACGCAGAGCCAC